rnacentral:rRNA from 1 species
UCAAGUAAUUAAGUGCAUGUGGUGGAUGCCUUGGCAGUCAGAGGCGAUGAAAGACGUGAUAGCCUGCGAAAAGCUCCGGGGAGGCGGCAAAUAUCCUUUGAUCCGGAGAUGUCUGAAUGGGGGAACCCACCUACUUUAAGGUAGGUAUUGCAACAUGAAUACAUAGUGUUGCAAGGCGAACGAGGGGAAGUGAAACAUCUCAGUACCCUUAGGAAAAGAAAUCAAUUGAGAUUCCCUCAGUAGCGGCGAGCGAACGGGGAUCAGCCCAUUAAGUUAUGUGUGUUUUAGUGGAACGCUCUGGGAAGUGCGAACGUAGAGGGUGAUAUUCCCGUACACGAAAGGGCACACAUAAUGAUGACGAGUAGGGCGAGGCACGUGAAACCUUGUCUGAAUAUGGGGGGACCAUCCUCCAAGGCUAAAUACUCCUGACUGACCGAUAGUGAACCAGUACCGUGAGGGAAAGGCGAAAAGAACCCCUGUGAGGGGAGUGAAAUAGAUCCUGAAACCGCAUGCAUACAAGCAGUGGGAGCACCUUCGUGGUGUGACUGCGUACCUUUUGUAUAAUGGGUCAGCGACUUAUAUUCAGUAGCGAGGUUAACCGUAUAGGGGAGCCGUAGAGAAAUCGAGUCUUAAUAGGGCGUUUAGUUGCUGGGUAUAGACCCGAAACCAGGCGAUCUAUCCAUGAGCAGGUUGAAGGUUGGGUAACACUAACUGGAGGACCGAACCCACUGUCGUUGAAAAGCCAGGGGAUGACUUGUGGAUAGGGGUGAAAGGCUAAUCAAGCCUGGUGAUAGCUGGUUCUCCCCGAAAGCUAUUUAGGUAGCGCCUCGGACGAAUACCAUAGGGGGUAGAGCACUGUUUCGGCUAGGGGGUCAUCCCGACUUACCAAACCGAUGCAAACUCCGAAUACCCAGAAGUGCCGAGCAUGGGAGACACACGGCGGGUGCUAACGUCCGUCGUGAAAAGGGAAACAACCCAGACCGCCAGCUAAGGUCCCAAAGUUGUGGUUAAGUGGUAAACGAUGUGGGAAGGCUUAGACAGCUAGGAGGUUGGCUUAGAAGCAGCCACCCUUUAAAGAAAGCGUAAUAGCUCACUAGUCGAGUCGGCCUGCGCGGAAGAUGUAACGGGGCUAAAACUAUGUGCCGAAGCUGCGGAUGUAUACUUUGUAUACGUGGUAGGGGAGCGUUCUGUAAGCCGAUGAAGGUGUGUUGAGAAGCAUGCUGGAGGUAUCAGAAGUGCGAAUGCUGACGUGAGUAACGACAAAACGGGUGAAAAACCCGUUCGCCGAAAGACCAAGGGUUCCAGUCCAACGUUAAUCGGGGCUGGGUGAGUCGACCCCUAAGGCGAGGCCGAAAGGCGUAGUCGAUGGGAAAAUGGUUAAUAUUCCAUUACUUCUGUGUAAUGCGAUGAGAGGACGGAGAAGGCUAAAUCAGCCUGGCGUUGGUUGUCCAGGUGAAAGGAUGUAGGCAUGUAUCUUAGGCAAAUCCGGGGUACUCUAUGCUGAGAUCUGAUAGCAAGCUGUACUUGUACAGCGAAGUGGUUGAUGCCAUGCUUCCAGGAAAAGUCUCUAAGCUUCAGUUACACAGGAAUCGUACCCGAAACCGACACAGGUGGUCAGGUCGAGUAGACCAAGGCGCUUGAGAGAACUCUGCUGAAGGAACUAGGCAAAAUGGUACCGUAACUUCGGGAGAAGGUACGCUGUUGUUGGUGAUGGAACUCGCUUCCUGAGCUGACGACAGCCGCAGAAACCAGGCCGCUGCAACUGUUUAUUAAAAACAUAGCACUCUGCAAACACGAAAGUGGACGUAUAGGGUGUGAUGCCUGCCCGGUGCUGGAAGGUUAAUUGAUGGGGUUAGCGUAAGCGAAGCUCUUGAUCGAAGCCCCAGUAAACGGCGGCCGUAACUAUAACGGUCCUAAGGUAGCGAAAUUCCUUGUCGGGUAAGUUCCGACCUGCACGAAUGGCAUAAUGAUGGCGGCGCUGUCUCCAGCAGAGGCUCAGUGAAAUCGAAAUCGCUGUGAAGAUGCAGUGUACCCGCGGCUAGACGGAAAGACCCCGUGAACCUUUACUGCAGCUUGACACUGAACUUUGACCUUACUUGUGUAGGAUAGGUGGGAGGCUUUGAAGCUGGAACGCUAGUUCCAGUGGAGCCGUCCUUGAAAUACCACCCUGGUAAUGUUGAGGUUCUAACUCUGUCCCGUGAUCCGGGACGAGGACCGUGUCUGGUGGGUAGUUUGACUGGGGCGGUCUCCUCCUAAAGAGUAACGGAGGAGUACGAAGGUGCGCUCAGACCGGUCGGAAAUCGGUCGCAGAGUAUAAAGGCAAAAGCGCGCUUGACUGCGAGACAGACACGUCGAGCAGGUACGAAAGUAGGUCUUAGUGAUCCGGUGGUUCUGUAUGGAAGGGCCAUCGCUCAACGGAUAAAAGGUACUCCGGGGAUAACAGGCUGAUACCGCCCAAGAGUUCAUAUCGACGGCGGUGUUUGGCACCUCGAUGUCGGCUCAUCUCAUCCUGGGGCUGAAGCAGGUCCCAAGGGUAUGGCUGUUCGCCAUUUAAAGAGGUACGCGAGCUGGGUUUAGAACGUCGUGAGACAGUUCGGUCCCUAUCUACCGUGGGCGCUGGAAAUUUGAGAGGAUCUGCUCCUAGUACGAGAGGACCAGAGUGGACGAACCUCUGGUGUACCGGUUGUGACGCCAGUCGCAUCGCCGGGUAGCUAUGUUCGGAAGGGAUAACCGCUGAAAGCAUCUAAGCGGGAAGCCUACCUCAAGAUAAGAUUUCCCUAGGACUUUAUGUCCUCUAAAGAGCCGUUCGAGACUAGGACGUUGAUAGGUUGGAUGUGGAAGCAUAGUGAUAUGUGAAGCUGACCAAUACUAAUUGCUCGUGAGGCUUGACUAU